AUACGUAGGUGGCAAGCGUUGUCCGGAUUUACUGGGCGUAAAGGAUGCGUAGGCGGAUAUGUAAGUGGGAUGUGAAAUGCCCGGGCUCAACUUGGGUGCUGCAUUCCAAACUGCAUAUCUAGAGUGCAGGAGAGGAGAGUGGAAUUCCUAGUGUAGCGGUGAAAUGCGUAGAGAUUAGGAAGAACACCAGUGGCGAAGGCGACUCUCUGGACUGUAACUGACGCUGAGGCAUGAAAGCGUGGGGAGCAAACAGGAUUAGAUACCCUGGUAGUCCACGCCGUAAACGAUGAGUACUAGGUGUAGGAGGUAUCGACCCCUUCUGUGCCGCAGUUAACACAAUAAGUACUCCGCCUGGGAAGUACGGUCGCAAGAUUAA
rnacentral:rRNA from 1 species